rnacentral:rRNA from 1 species
AUGAAUGGCGUGUUGACUAAAGGUGGAAAGAAAUACUUCAUGACAUUGAUAGAUGAUUCCACUAGAUAUUGCUAUGUAUAUCUGUUAAAUACUAAAGAUGAGGCUCUACACUACUUUAAAAUCUAUAAGGCAGAACUUGAGAAUCUGAUAUGGACAGCACAAGUGCUCUUGUCGUUCCACCGUUACUGUCAAGUAAAAUAUCAGACAAUCGAGAGGCUCGCUAUGAAAGCAAGAUGCAAAAGUAUGUGGUUCCCGCUCUACGUCAUAAGAAGAUCAUGUGUGCUACAGAACAGAGGGGGAUCUUAG